GAAUUUUGAAGUGCCUUUUUCUUGAUCCAGCUUUCACUUGGUUGCUGUAAACUUUUGACUGUUUUCCAGAGUUCUUAUAAAAUGUGUUCUGACAGUUUCUGCUUGUUUUUUUAAUGUUUCUGUGGAAGGGGCGGAGACCUCCAUGUCCGAGGAAGGGCUGGCUGUGCUCUAGAAUACCGGCCGUCUCACCACCUCCGCGAUGUCCAUCCAGCGGUGACCCUCCGCCUGUCCCAAGAGGUCUCAACGGUUUCAUCCAGGGCAGAACUCUGGGAGGCAGGUGGAGGCUGAAGUCAGAGCCGAAGGAAGAGGCAGCAAGAGCCAGAGCACCGCGCUGAGCACAGAAACGUGCCCAUCUUCCCCUUUGCCAGUCACACUGAUGAGAACCAGGAGCACAGAGAUGUCAUCAGGACUAACAGCCGGCAGCUGUUGGAGUGGCCCUGCCAGAUGAAUCCUGCUUCUUGGUGAGCAGUGUCUCUCUUGGGUGUGACGAACGUCUGGUCCUACAGAGACAGCGCUUCGGGUGUUUCCAUCAAAGCCAAAGGCAAGCCUUUUGGUUUUAAGAUUUGACCGCUGGCACCUGAAAGGACGAGUGAUGGGAAGUAAUCUCAUGUGUUUGUGUUUGGAAUUUGGCUAUUUCACAUGGCCAGAGUAUACUAAAUAAUGGAAUUUGACCACUGGAAAUGAAUUCUAGACUCUUCUAGAGUCUGUUAGAGAACGGCCUGGCCCCUUCCACCUCCCUAGGACCAUCUCUUAUAUCUCGUAGACACACUGGGGUCUUCCAGGCAUAUGCCUGCCCUGCAUUUCCACUCUGUGCAUGUUUUUUCUCUGCAUGGAUCACUUUCACCCUAACGAGCCCCGUGCCCGAAGAACUCCUAUGCAUCCUUCAAAACUCAGGUCAGGAGUCAUGUUUCCUGGAAACUUUGUAGGUGCUCUCCUCCCUUAUCUGGUAAAGUUCACUGGGUUGAUUUCCAUCACAGAAAGCCCUGUGCACAGUGUGCUCAAAGGUCAACCGUGUGCUCCCCUUCCCCAUGGCCAGUCCCUUCCUCUUGGGGACCGUAACAAACUAUCUUUUCAAUAGAAGGUAUCUCCUGAUCUUCUGGACUUGCCCAUCUGAAUAAUAAUAAAACCUACAUUUUGAAACACGGAUAUUGCCUUAUGGAUACAGCCAUCACCUAAGUCAAGAAAUAACAUUAGCAACAUUUCCAGGGGCACCGUGCUCUUAUAAUCCAGCAAACAUUUAUGAAGUGCCUUCUAUUCACUCAUACAUUCACAUCUUCACCAAAUAUUUACCAAUUAUCUGUGACGGGCUAGAUAGUGUGCUGGGACUCGUUACGUACAGAGAUGAGGAAAGCAGAGGUUCUGGCUUCACCACGCACGUCUUUUAAUGGAAAAGACAGUAUCAGUCAAACAACCACACAAAUGAAUAUACAAUAGCAAACAAUGAUACGUGCAAGGGAGGCUAAUCAAACACUGCUCUGUGCAGGUCACUUCCAUGACUUAUGUCCUUUAGCCCUCCCAAAAGGCCGAUUUGGGGGGUACCAUUGGUAUUGACAGUCUAGACACGAGGAAACAAAAGUGAGGCUUUGCCCCAAGCCAUGUAGCUGGAGGUUGGAGGAAUCCCUGAAAAGGUCUAGCUAGUCAAGAAAGACGUCAGGAAGGGGCAAACCUUGACCUAGGUCUCGAAGAAAGGAUAGGAUUCAGGUAGGCGAAGCUGGGAGGGGCAUUCCUCAAGUCGCCACCUGAUUUUUAGUCCUUGCUGUGGAGGUGGGUGCCUAAGGCACCCAUUGCCUUCUACCAAGGAAGGAAUGCAGAAUUCUGGUUUAGCAGGUGUUGGCUGUCUUCAAGGCUCUUCGGCAGCUCUACUAUGGCAAAGACCUUCCAAGCUGAGACUUCACGCAACA